ensembl:lncRNA LINC00506 long intergenic non-protein coding RNA 506
AAAGGGUAGAGGGCAGCAACCGACUUGUGCGAAAGGAGGGAACGUGUGGGUCUGCCAGGGUCCUGCAGGGGGGAUGAGACCCUCGCUCCGCUCCGGCGAUCCCUUCGCUCUCCACCCUCGGCCAGCCCCUCCUGUCCUCCAUCAGGCCUCGCUGAGGAUACCUCCUGGGUUCCAAAGCGCGAGUUGAACCUGAGCUUGACAUUCAUUCCGUCUCGUACAAAAGCCAUGCCUGCGGGGAGAGGGAGAAAAUUUCCUACAGGAGCCUCAAGACUGCGUUUCAGGAAGCCCUAGGACCCACUGAUCCUGCAGCUGCGCCUCUCACUCGCCUCAGGGGAUAAACUCAAGGAAGAAAUGGACAUAGCUGUUGAGAAGAGAUGGGGAUUUUCUCAUAAGCCAUGCUACUUUUUUGACCUUAGAACCCACCACGAUGAAUCUCUGAGUCGGUCUCAUCUCCCAGAUCCUCAACUCAACUUUUCUCAGACUGUACUUAAGCACUUUUGUCAAAGUUGGAGUAGAGAAGGUAGGGUGAUAAGAAAGAGCUCCUUUUGCUCUUUUCCACAUGGAUUGUCUCCCUUUUGAUGGCCUCACAAGUCCCCAGAUUUUCCUUUUGACAUUGUUUCAUACAGUAUUUAAAUCUAUUUGUAUACAUGAAACUUAUUUUAAUGCCUGUCUUUCUGAAUCCCUGACUCCAUCCCUAUGUCUCUGGUAUGUUUCUAUCUGUGAUUAUCGACUCCAUAUUAAAAAUGGGACUGCUUGCACUUAUUGCAGUACAUGUGUCAAACUGAUCCCUCAAAACUUCCUGACAAAAAAUAGACCAUUCUAGUUCUUCACUACCUGUUUCUUGAUAGACAGAUCAAAAAAGUCCCUCCAUCCUAAGGGUUUCUCUCUCAUGGCAAAACCUUUGGUGAGAGACACACAUCAAUGUCUGUCAAUGAAACCACUGGAAUAUUGUCCCAAUGUGAAUAUAUUUCCAAUUCAAUCUAUUCUAUUGUCCACAGUAGGCAACCAGAAUUCCCAAGGAACUGUAGAAGGGGUGCCUUUUUUUUUAAGGGAUAAGAAGUAUAUAGACUUGAAUAUCAGGCACAAUUGUGACAGUGAGAAAGUCAUGUAAUUACUUGGAAAUAAGAGGCUAAAGUUUCAGGGUUAAACCAAAAUUGGGAAUGAGACAGCCAUGUUGGAGGGGGUCCCCAGAGAAACUCCAACCAGCCUACCCACUGAGGUGGAGCCUUGGGAAGUUCAUGACAUUUGUAGCAGGGAGGAGCCUGGCCCCUCCUCUUCCUGUGUGGAAUCUGGCAUUCAAGCUACAGGCUGGAAGCACUGUAGCAGGGACGCUGGCCUAGUGAGAGUCCCUGUUUCCCCCUUUUCUUCAUUUUCACCCAAUAAAAUCCUGUCUCACUCACCAUUCAAAUUGUCUGCAAGCCUGAGUUUUCAUGGCUGUGGGACAAAGAACUCUGCCCUUAGCUGAACUAAGGAAAAGUCCUGCAACAUUUUUGGCACCCAACAUGGGGCUCAAGAAGCAGUGAGUGAAAUGAGGACUCAGAACCUCUCACCUUCUGAGGACUUCUGAGGGUUGGGAAUACAUACCCCCAAACCCUGUGGCUCCCUGGGGUUGGGGGAAAGGCCCUUUCCUUCCUUUUUCAGGACAGGGGAGCAGGGGCUCCUUGCUCCCCCUCCCCUCCAUGCUGGGGCUGGGACACAUGGCUCAAGAGUCUCACACAGCCGGGUGGCUGGUUCCCAUCCAGAAGCCACUGCAGCCUUUCCCUUCCCCACCCAAGGGGUUCAGCUCCAUCAGGCAGUAAUUAAACUUUUCUCUCUGGUGGAAGAACCACUUGCCUAAGAAUAAGAGGAUCUCCCCCAGGCAUUUGAAAACUUUCUCUUUUUUCCUCUUCUCCACCCUGUCAGCAAGUUAACUUUUAUAGUUUUUUGUUUUUCCUUUUAGAAGAUGUUUUACUAGGCCAGCCCUGCACCUCCCCCCAAUCCACCCACCAACUAUGACUGUAUUCUUUGCAAAGUUGUGGUUGUGAAAUCAAGCCUCCAUCUUGUUUUACAUCUGGGGGGUGUGGCCAGUUACUGCCUGGCAAGGAUUUGUUUAGCAACCCUACCUUAGGGGAUGCCCCUCUCAGGUUAAGUAAUCUACAUGUUUUCCUAGCCCUGUCUCUUAAAAGGCCCUACCCAGCAACUGGGUUUUCUUCUGCCUGUCUGUGUGUACUAUAUGUGAUGUCUGUAAAAAUAACUCUAAUUAAUCUGGCCUAAAGAAAAGUGCUUGGAUCUAACAUUUUUUAAAGCUAAAAGCUGUGGUACCUUUCAUUUCACAUGACUUUAAUCUUUAAGAAAUAAAAACAGCCCUAAAGACUAUUCGUAAAAUGCAGGUCAGAUGCAAAGUUUGCUAAUUGUUUUGAGGUUACAAACUGCUUUUUGGGUUUUGAGAGCUAUUUUACUUGUCAGCUACAUCAUUGGUAGGGUCUGGGGACAUAUGGAACUAACCACACCCUUAAUUAUGCUGGAGUCAAAUCUUGGCUGCACUUAUCACACAAUUAAGGCAACUUACCAAGUUUUACCAAAUUGCUAGAAGUUAAUUGAAACUACUAGAAAUAGAUUUACAUGCAAGGUGUGUAAGAACAGUAAAAUGUGUUUUUUUAGUAAAAGGUUAUAAGAAGGCAUGGAAAUGUAAACUUUUGCCUAGAGUUAAAUGAUUGUUUUGAGUUAAAUUAGGAAAAAGCUAAAGGUUCAAAGAAGUGGUGGAAGAAUUGUGGAAAUUAAUCUUGCAGAAGAAGGUCUCUAUGUAAAUAUUUUUGCUAAAUUCAAAAGGGUAUUAAAUGUUUUUUUCUGUAAAUCGAGCAUUGAAAUAAAAACACAACAAGAAAUUCUUAAAAUGCUAAUCUCUUUGGCAAAAUUUAUAAAGGUUUAUAAAAGGUUUUUGGUUCUUUAAAAUUUCUGAGUCAUCAUUUUGGCAAAAUAAAUAACUUACAGUAAUCAGGAAUUCUAUUUCAUAAUAUCAAGUGUUUUAAACCUUGAACAUUUAACAGCCUUCCCAAAAUCAAACUUCAGUUUUAAAAUUGUCUUCCUCGACACCUGGGUUUGUGGAAAGUCCAGAGGGCCCCUGGAAUGUCCAGAGAAAAAGAGGUAAACAGAAUUAUUUAACAUAUUUAGGUACAUGGGAUUGACAAAAUGAUCUUCUUUAGGUUAAGUUAUAUCUUGGUGAAGAAUGCCAAUAUAUGUUCCAAAAUUGUAUGGAGUUUCUAAAAUUCUAAUAUCUGAGUAUAGCUAUCAAUCAUAAUUAAGGUUUUUUGUUAAGUUAUUGUAAAUCACAGAGCUAAUCAAACUUCUCUGUCAAUCAUGUUUCUAACUGUAACUACCCUGGAUAUUUUGCUAUUCAAAAAUUGUUGUUUUAUUUUAAUCCUUUUCAAAAGAUGGUUUAUAAUAAGCUAUAGAACUGUAACAGGUGCUCUCAAAUACAGGUUUCUGAUAACUUUGGAGACUGUGAAAUUGGAAUAAAGAAAAAUAUAUAGGACUCAUAAAGAGCUGAAAUAUUAAUGAAUACAAGCAAAACAAAAACUAAAUGGACUAAACUUAGAAACUGAAGCAAUCCUUUUAACCUUGUUUGGAAUAUUGCUGAUCCUUGUUUUGUUUUUCAGAGUAAAGGAAACUUAUUUUGAACUAUUUUCAGACUUUAAUAAUUAAGUAAGGUAUACACUCCUGUGAUUAAAAUUUAGAACAUGUUUGUUUCUCUCUGCCUGGUUCCUCUAGAAUUUGGAGAAUAUCUGUGAGUAUUCUUAACUUAUGGCAAUGUAGUUGUUUGCAUCAAUGCAAUAAAAAUCCAUUUUUCUUUUGCAA